CACUAUCCUUUGCCUUAAGGACGGCCAAAAACCCCAGAGUUCAUCCAACAGUUAUGCGAGUGUGUAUGAUGAAGAGUUUUUGAGAAAAGUUAGAACAGAAAUGCCAAGCGGUGCUAAUAUCAAUUUCAUAGAGGAUAGUGCAAGAGAUGGAUCUGGAAUCUUCUCGUAGUUCAGUCAAUUUUGGCAGACUACGACCUAUCCUGGCAGGUCGUUGCCCGAAACAGAGCCAGAAGCUCUAUCAAACCUAUCAGAAUGGAUGAAUUUGCGAGAGCUUGGGCCGAUAGGGGAUGUACUUGCUUCCGAGGAUAUUUCUAGCACUUGCUUUUGUGACAUUAAAAACGCCAUCAACAUUGCCUCCCUAUCAAGUAUAAGCAGGGUACUGAAGCAUUAACGUCGCGGGGCGUGUGUUACUGGGAAGAAAGCAAGCACAUGGAUGGCCAAGGUAGAUAAAAUUAACUUGCUAAACUAUGAGACCACAAUGUAAUCAGCUCUGUCGGGGCAACAAAUUGCUAAGAUAAUCAGUUAUUUCCAUGACGAAUUUCAGCUUACCUUCAAUGCAUCACACAAAGGAUCAAAACCAGCUUGGUAAACUGAUGUUGCUUCAUUUUCUAUGCUUGUGUAGAUGGCAUAAUUUACCUAGCUUAUACUCGGCCCCAGCAACCCACUAAUUCUUGCGUUUCAAUUAUUAUUAUUAUUAUUUUGCAAUAACAAAAGCAUUACUUUAGGAAUUUUUAAUCGAAUUGUUUAAAAGCUAAUCCAGACACCUUGUUAAUUAAAAAAAAUACCUUACAAAUUAUGCCUAUGCCCUAUUAGAGUCAAAUCAAAUUUACUCUCUGUCCAAGGCCAUCCAAGCUCAAAAAAAGUAUGAAAAAACUGGAUUUAAUCAAAUGCUUAUUAUUUCAUUUGCUUUAUUAUUCCCGAAUAAAGCUAAGAUUCUACAAAGCGCUUUCUUUUUUCUACACAAUAACAUGAAAAACCCAGAUAAAAGAAACAGCUAGAACAGAAUUCAAAGUCUAAGAGUGAUUCUAUACAAAACAACCAACUGGGUUAUCCUCAAACUUGCCGAGUCACACAACUCUACUUCGGUUGCUGAAUCGUCCUUGGACUCAGCUUCACACUCACUAUCUUGGGUGCCUUCUCCAAAUACCUCGGUGCCUGAGCACGAUCAACUCGACCCUUUUUCCACUUCAUCACUCCAAGCGAAAUCAAUUCCUUGUUGCAUCCCUUCACCUCCUCCUCCUCCUCCUCCCCUGCAACAAAAAGAGAGAAAAGAAAACCGAGUUAGAGAGUAGACUUGGCGACUCGGGCGAGUUACCACAGAAAUUUUAAUUUCUAGGACGGCACUUACCUUUGAUAGUGUCGUAAAUUGGGUCGUCGAAGAAGAGAGAGUAGAGAUCGUCGGGGAGGAAAGAAUCGUAAAUAUCAGAGAAUGAAGGGUCAGAUUCGGGAUCAUAGAAACGUUCUUCGAGCCAGUAGUCUCGGAACCAAGGGGAGGACUGGACAAGGGCCCA